rnacentral:tRNA from 3 species
CUCUCUGUAGGCUAAUGGAUAAACCGAAGGACUACGAAUCCUUAAUUCUCAGUUCGAAUCUGGGCAGAGAGGC